rnacentral:lncRNA from 10 species
GGCCAUUGCUGUGCGCGCGCGCGCGGGCAUGUGCAUGGUUCAGGGAAGAGGCUGCAUUUCACAGAGACUCUGUCCCAGGAGGUUCAAGCAAUUCUCGUGCCUCAGCCUCCUGAGUACCUGGGACUAGGGGUACGCACCACCACGCCCAGCUAAUUUUUGUAUUUUUAGUAGAGAUGGGGUUUCACCAUGAUGGCCAGGCUGAUUUCGAACUCCUGGCCUUAAGUGAGCCUCCUGCCUCGUUCUCCCAAAGUGCUGGGAUUACAGGCGUGAGCCACCAUGCCCAGCCGGCAUUUUCAUCUGGACUCUGCCAUGGGGCUCAGCAAAUCAGAUGUGACCUGGUGACAGGUGCCAAGAAGGUCUGGCGACCACAGGUUUCUUGUCGGUUUCUGCCUGGGACCCCCGCACCUCCCUACCAGUAUUCCCAACCCAACGAAAGACCGGCCAAGUACAAACCAAGGGCAGCCCUGAAGCCCAGGACCAUGAGGCCUGGAAGGCCCCAGGACAGGUGAUUUGUGGCCCUGGUGUCUCAGGUCAGGAGCAGGGCAGAGCCACCUUCCUCCCUCCCUGUGCGGGGCUGCAUGAGCUCAGGGACCUUUGGACCUGAGAAAGGUCAGGCUCACUUCCUCCCCGUGCCUGCGGUUGGCCGCAGGGGGAAUAUUCUCCUGACCCGAGUCCCGAAGCCCUGGGCGUGGAGUUUCCCUGGACUGGGAGAAAGUAAACACCGAGGGACUUGCCAAGAGGAAAUGGAGAAGCCCAGGUGUUCUGGGCGGAGCUGAGUGUCCCGCAGGGGGUUCCGCAGCUCCUCGCCUCUGGAAGACCAAGGACAGCUUUCCCCAGGGCUACAGCCUCACGCUCCCCUCCCAUCGUGGCUGGGCCUUUACUUGGGGGUGAGUGUCCUACAGACGAGGGGCUUAAAGCUACAGGAAUGCCUCGUCUCGCAGAGCUGGAGGCUGGAAGGCAGAUCGGCCUGUGAGGGCCGCGGUCACUCUUGGUCCUGAGCCCUCCUUGUCCGGCUGCUGGUGUCACGGGCACUCCUUGGGGUUCCUUGGCUUGUGGGAGCAUCGCGCCGGCCCCGCCUCUGUCAUCAGGCCGCCUCCCCUUCUCUUCUCGAAGGACACCUGCUACGGCGAGGGCCUCUCCAGGAUGACCUCAUCUCGUUCUCCACUAAUCACAGCUGCAAAGAUUUAUUUCCAAAUAAAGUCGCCUUCUUGGGUUCCAGGGGACCUGAUUUUGGGAGGCGCUGUUCCCCCAGCACAGGGAUACAGCAGGCCCUUGGCCUCAUCGGACAUCUGGUGCCCGCGCGCCCUCUCACUCACGUUGUCCAGGCCUCUGCCCUUCUCAACACCCGGACGUGGGCGUUCAGGUGUCCUUCCUGCCCUGGCGUAUGCCCCACUUAGCUGAGUGGGGGGCUUAGACCUCCGCCCCAUCUGCAGUCCUCCUGGGGCCUGCCAAUCAGACCCCCUGCAGCUGCAUGGUCUUGGGGCAUUGCUGUAAGGCCCUGGGGCCUUUCUGAAUCCAUCUGCAAGCUGGAGCUGAGUCCAGGAGCUGAGGCCGGGAGCAGGAGGUGAGGUUGCUAGCUGAGGCUGGGAGCAAGAGCUGAGGCCACUGGAGCUGAGGCUGGGAGCUGAGAUGUGGAGCUGGGGCUGAGGCUGGGAGGAGGGGUUGAGGAUACCUGGAGUUUGGGAGCUGGGCUGAGAGGCCAGGGAGGAGAGCCCUGCCACCACCCUGCUGCCCCCCCUCGCCACCCCCCUGCUGCCACCUUGCUGCCACCCUGCCUCCUGUUCCCAGCCCUCUGGCCAGUCCCUGUGUUCGUUUUCUGUUUUCUACUUACCAGAAACUUAGCAGCUUGAAACAGCACCCGCUCGGCACACAUUCCUUUUGGGAGUGUGAAAUGGUGCAGCUGCUGUGGGAAAUGGUCUGGUGAUUCCUCGCAAAGCUAAACAAUUGCCAUAGCACCCUGCAGUUCCACACCUGGGGAUGCACAGCCAGAAAUGAAGACGGGUGUCUGAGCAAAAACUCGGACAUGAGUGUUCACAGCAGCGUUAUUCACAGUAGCUAGAAGGUGGAAACAACCCAAGUGUCCGUGGACCGAGGAACAGAUCAACAGGCCACGGCGCACGCACGACGGAGUAUUGUGCAGCCAGAAAAAGGGUGAAGCUCCCUUACACAUUAUGGCGUGGGUGAGCCUCAGAAACAUGGUGCUAAGUGACUGCGUUUAUAUAAAAAGCUUGCACUGAUGUAAAGUGUCUAGAGUAGAGAAACCCAGGAGAUGAAGUGGAUUCGUGGCUUCCAGGGCCUGAGGGCAGAGGGAAGGGACCGGCUGCUGAUGGGUCUCCGUUUGGGAAGAUGAACGAGUUCUGGAGCUUGCUUGAGGCAGUGUCUGCACAACAGUGUGAGUGCACGGAAUGUGGCUGAAUUGGACUCUUUAAAAUAGUUCAGGUGGGCAAUGUUAUGUUAUGUGUGUUUUACUACCAUACAAAUAAGUAAAUAAAUGGACAAGCCUGCACCAUCUUGUAGCUCACACCUGCAGGUCAGGAGCCGGCCUGGGUCCCCUGCUGGGGCCUCACCUGGGGCUCAGGCCUCCUCCCAGGCUGGUUCAGAAUCCAGGUCCUUGUGGGUGUGGGACUGAGGUCCCCGUUUUCUCGCAGCUGUUGUCAGGGACUGCCCUCAGCUCCUAGGGCUUUCUCUCGGGUCCCUGCCUGGUGGCCUCUGGUGGCCCCUCCAUCUUCAAGCAGCAGGGGCCGGUGGAGUCCCCCCAUGAGUGGCUCUUUCUGGCCAUCCCUUCUGCACCCGCCAGAGGAAACUCCGCUUCUAAAGUGUUGGUGUGAUGAGGUCAGGCCCGGAGGCACCUCCCUGUUUUAAGGUCAGCGGGUUGGUGAACUUCACCAUGCCUUCAGAAUCCCUCUGCCACACAACACAGCCGUCUUGGGAGUAACACUGGAGGCAGAGACCACGGGCGACCUCCAAGAUCUGCUUACAACAGUCGUUUCAACAGAGUUGAGUCAGCUUGGGGCUUCUCCGAGUGACUGUGCACAGGGGUCCUGGGGCUUCUCCGAGUGACUGCGCGCAAGCGUCCUGGGACUUCUCCAAGUGACUGCGCACAGGCAUCCUGGGGCUUCUCCGAGUGACUGCGAACAGGCGUCCUGGGGCUUCUCUGAGCGACUGCGCACAGGCGUCCCUGGGGUCCCUGGGGUUAGGAUGCUGGCGCUGGCUCAGCAGGUCUGGGAAGGGCCAGGAUUCCAGUGCCCAGGCUACCGUCCAGGUCCACACCAUGCCCCAAUGGACGCUCUCCAGCCCCUCCCUGAGGCUGGGGCCAUGGGAUGAGCUCAGUGGCAUCCAGAUCAGAGUCCACCCCCUCCACACCUUGCCAUGGUCCUGAUGUCACCAAGUGCAUUGUAGCCCUAACCCUCGUGGACCCCCCUUCAUGGGGUGGUGCAGGCAGCGUGUUCUCUGAGGGUAAGGACAGGGCCCAACAGGGGCUGCCCCAAGGAGCCAGUGGAGCCAUGGUUCCCCACCUGCCCACUCGUCUGCCCACCCUCCCCUGAGUGGAGGCAGAGGAGCUGAGAACGGCCUGCCGGCCAGCCCUGGGAAAACCAGGUUCCUUAUGGUCUGCUCAGCCAUAGAGCCGGAGGCCCCUCCCAGCAGCCCCUGCCUGCCCACUCUGCCAGAGCUUCUCCAUGCAACUUUUCUGCAGCAUAGUCCUGUUGCACAAACACCUCUCUCUGCUUUUUCCUUUCUUUUUUUUUUUUUUAAUUUAACCAUAUCUGCUGUAUCAUACAAGCACUCAGGAUCUUGGUUGCAAUGAAUGGAAACCUAUGCUAAAUAACUUUCUCAGAGGGCUCUUGGGGCUCUGGAAACCAGACAGAAGGCUGGAGAAUGAGGGCUGGGCAUAGGCAGGUCCAGGGAGGCCAAGAGGGCAGCCUGGCUGUGAGGCAGCUGCUGGUACAGCCCAGACUGUCCCUGCUUCUGGGUCACUUGCUCCAGACCCAAAGUUCUGCCCAGGAAUGUCUGGUGGUCAAACUCCAGCCAUGUGGCUCCCUCUUUUCAGAGGUGAACUCAGUCUUCACUGAUAAGGGUAAGGUUCCUGGUGAAUCCUGCAGCUUGAAUGUCCAUCCCCAUGAAUCCGAGC